GCAGAGGGAGUGGAGCACGGUCAGUACUCGGGCGAGGACUCCCUCUGCUGGCUUGGUGUUACAGUCUUGAAGAAAUAAAUAUAUUUGU